GAUGAACGCUGGCGGCGUGCCUAAUACAUGCAAGUCGAGCUAACAGACGAGGAGCUUGCUCCUCUGACGUUAGCGGCUGACGGGUGAGUAACACGUUGAUAACCUACCUAUAAGACUUUUAUAAUUUCGGGAAACCGGAGCUAAUACCGGAUAAUAUAUUGCACCGCAUGGUUCAAUAGUUAAAGACGCUUUUGCUGCCUCUUAUAGCUGUUUUCGCGCUGCAUCAGCUAGUUGGUAAGGUAACGGCGUACUAAGGCAACGAUGCUUAGCCGAACUGAGAGAGUGAUCGGCAACACUGGAACUAAGACACGGUCAAGACUCAUACGGGAGGAAGCAGAAGGGAAUCUGCCGCAAUGGACGGAAGCCUGACGAAGCAACGACGCGUGAGUGAUGAAGGUCUUCGGAUCGUAAAACACUGUUAGUAGGGAAGAACAAAUGUGAAAGUAACUAUGCACGUCUUGACGGUACCUAAGCAGAAAGCUACGGAUAACUACGUG
rnacentral:rRNA from 1 species